AGUCAGUCAUUUCCACAGCAUCACCAAGGAUAAAGAGCAGUCAUCCUCACAGCAUCACCAAGGAUGAAGAGUAAUCAUCCCCAUACCAUCAUCUUGGGUAAAGAGCAGUCAUCCCUGCAGCAUCAGCAUGGGUAAAGAGCAGUCAUCCCCACAGCAUCACCAUGAGUACUUCACAUCUAUCUCUGGCACAGUCCUCUUCUGAGCCCUACACCUAUGUCCAAACAUCUUCCAGAUACCUCUCCCAGGACAUCUGUCCUGCCUUCUACAAACAAGGAUGCCCUGGGAUAAGAAGAUGGUGCCUGCUUCACUCUCAGACUGCAGCAGGAUUUGCAGCAGUGUCUGCUAUGUAUCUUGUAAUGCUAGAAGCAACUGUGGCAGGAAUAGUCUCUGUACUGAUGGACUUAGAAUCCAGAAGAGUCUGGGCCAUCAGUGGAUCAAAGAAGUCAUUGGUGGCAUGAGGUGUGUGUG
rnacentral:lncRNA from 1 species